rnacentral:misc_RNA from 1 species
GUGAAUCAUCGAAUUUUUGAACGCAAAUUGCACUCUCUGGUAUUCCGGAGAGUAUGCCUGUUUGAAGGUCAGUAUAAAUAAAAAUCGAGGUGUUGCUUAUGGUGACGUCAUCGGAAUUGGGUUACCUUUAUUCUUAAUAAGGUUUUAAAGUGCCUUAAAAUUGAUAAUACUUGGUGAUUCUCAAG